UCCCUGUCCCUGUCCUGUCCCUGUCCCCCAGCAGUGUCCCUGUCUCUGCCCCACUGCAGUGACCCCCAGCAGUGUCCCUGUCCCCAGGGCUGUCCCCAUCCCUGUCCCCAUCCCCGUCCCCGUCCCCGCCGCAGUGCCGCGCUGUCCCCGGCUGUGUUUGGGGUCCCCCCGUGCCCCCUCACCUGUGAAGGUGGGGCCCCUCCUCCUGCCCCUGGGGCCGGGGCUGUCACCGCCGUCUGUGGGAGGGAGCAGAUCCCGCCCCAGCCAGGGUCACCCGUCAGGGCUGGGGAGCCCCGGGGCCCCGGGGGUGGGGAUCCUCUCGGGGAUCAUCUGGGGUCAUCUGGGAUCCUCGGGGAUCACCUGGGAUCAUCUGGGGUUCUCUGGGGUCAUCUGGGAUCCUCUGGGAUCCUCUGGGAUCCUCUGGGGUCAUCUGGGAUCAUCUGGGAUCCUCUGGGAUCCUCUGGGAUCCUCUGGGGUCAUCUGGGAUCCUCUGGGAUCCUCUGGGGUCAUCUGGGAUCCUCUGGGAUCAUCUGGGGUUCUCGUGAUCCUCUGGUAUCCUCUUUGGGAUCCUCUGGGAUCCUCUGGGGUUCUCGUGAUCCUCUGGGAUCCUCUGGGAUACUUUGGGGUCCUCUGGGAUCCUCGGGGAUCUUCUGGGAUCCUCUGGGAUCAUCUGGGAUCACCUGGGAUCCUCUGGGAUCAUCUGGGAUCCUUGGGAUCCUCUCUGGCAUUCUCGGGAUCCUUUGGGAUCAUCUGGGAUCCUUUGGGAUCCUUGGGAUCCUCUGGGAUCCUCUGGAUCCUCUUUGGGGUCCUCUGGGAUCCUUGGGAUCCUCUCUGGGAUUCUCGGGAUCCUUUGGGGUCAUCUGGGAUCCUUUGGGAUCCUCUUUGGGAUCCUCUGGGAUACUUUUGGAUUCUUGGGAUCCUUUGGGAUCAUCUGGAAUCCUCGGGAUCCUCUGGGAUCCUCUUUGGGAUCCUCUUUGGGAUCCUUUGGGGUCCUCUGGGGUCACCUUUGGGAUCCUCUGGGAUCCUCUGGGAUCCUCUUUGGGAUCCUCUUUGGGAUCCUCUGGGAUCCUCUGGGGUCCUUUGGGGUCCUCUGAGAUCCUUUGGGAUCAUCUGGAAUCCUCUGGAUCCUCUGGGAUCCUCUUUGGGAUCCUCUUUGGGAUCCAUUGGGAUCCUCUGGGAUUCUCAUGAUCCUUUGGGAUCCUUUAGGAUCCUCUGGGAUCCUCUUUGGGAUCCCCUGAGAUCCUUUGGGAUCAUCUGGAAUCCUCUGGGAUGCCCUGGAAUCCUCUGGGAUCCUUUGGGAUCCUCUGGAAUCCUCUGGGAUCCUCUUUGGGAUCCUUUUUGGGAUCCCCUGGGAUCCCCUGGGAUCCCCCGGAUCCCCUGUGUCCGGCCGGGAAUCACUCACCGCCGGUGCAGAGCCACUGGGUGAACUCCUGCAGCCUCCUCGGGACCUUCCUCUUCCUCUUGCCCCCCACCGGCGCCUCCAGGCCCAGGGGCAGCAGGAACGGCCUCCCUGGGGACAGCGGGGGGGGACACCUCAGGGGACACCUCAGGGGACAGCGGGGUGGGGACAGGGCCUCCCUGGGGACAGGGACACCUCAGGGGACAGCGGGGGGACAGC
ensembl:lncRNA